UACGUAGGGGGCAAGCGUUGUCCGGAAUCAUUGGGCGUAAAGCGCGUGUAGGCGGCUUGGUAAGUCUGCUCUGAAAGCCCGGGGCUCAACCCCGGGAGGCGGGUGGAUACUGUCAAGCUCGAGUCCGGAAGAGGAGUGUGGAAUUCCUGGUGUAGCGGUGAAAUGCGUAGAUAUCUGGAGGAACACCGGUGGCGAAGGCGGCGUUCUGGACUGCAACUGACACUGAGGAACGAAAGCCAGGGGAGCAAACGGG
rnacentral:rRNA from 1 species